ACGGGAAAUGGCAUCAAGGCAAUUAUGAAUUACUUGCAGAGUUGAGACUCUCAAAUUCCCAACAGGAUAAAGUGGCUCAUUGUCUAUCGAAUCAAGCAUUAUUUACAUCAGUGGACAUUUUACACAUCUUUGUAAGUCAAGCGCGGUCUAUUGUAAGAUCCUGAAAAUUGUAAUGUAACUGUAGUGUGUGUUGUAAUUGUACUACUUAAUAAAUUGUGAAUAGAGUGUUGAGGGCCAUCACCUAGAGUGGAACUAACCUGCUCAUGACAGUUAGGGAUUAUAGUAUGUAGGGACAAUAUGGGACUCGAAAUCAUGACACGUCUUCUCUCUUAGUGAGAGAUAUAAAUUACCAAAUUUGACCAAAGUGGAUGGGCCACCUAUACUUAACCUGGAAAACGAACAAAUAUAAUUUUACAUGUGUUCGAUAAAUAGCCAAAUGCCUCAUCAUCUAAUUAGUGAUGUGCAUGAAUGGAUGAACAAGAUUCCCACUGGCCCUACCUACUAUCCAGCAAAACUACAGACAAGGGAAUGGGCUUGGUGGAAUCAGUGGGGAAAGAAGACCUUGUUGAGCUUGACUCUAGUCUGGUGCUGUGAAGAGACAUGAGAGGUGUAGAAUAAGUGGGAAGCCGGGCGCACGCUCAGUGGUGCGGGGCGACCCACCUGCCGGCGUCCUGGCCGUCGGUGAAAUACCACCACUCUGAUCGUUUUUUCACUUACCCGGUGAAGUGGGGGGGUGAUCCCUGAGGGGAGCUCUCGCUUCAGGUGCCAAGCACCUGACACGUGCCAGGCGCGACCUGCUCCAGGGACAGCGGCAGGUGGGGAGUUUGACUGGAGCGGUACACCUGUCAAAGCAUAACGCAGGUGUCCUAAGGCGAGCUCAGGGAGGACGGAAGCCUCCCGUGGAGCAGAAGGGCAAAAGCUCGCUUGAUCUUGAUUUUCAGUACGAAUACAGAUCAUGAAAGCGGGGCCUCACGAUCCUUCUGGCUU
rnacentral:ncRNA from 1 species